rnacentral:rRNA from 1 species
GACGUAGGGCGCGAGCGUUGUCGAGUUUAUUGGGCGUAAAGAGCGUGUAGGCGGUCAGGUAGGUCGGUUGUGAAAACUGGAGGCUCAACCUUCAGAGGUCGACCGAAACCCCCUGGCUAGAGUCCGGGAGAGGAGAGUGGAAUUCCUGGUGUAGCGGUGAAAUGCGCAGAUAUCAGGAAGAACACCCGUGGCGAAAGCGGCUCUCUGGAACGGUACUGACGCUGAGACGCGAAAGCGUGGGGAGCGAACAGG